ACCAGCAGCCAUAUCACUCUGCAACUCACAACUGGCAACCCACUGAAGCCAAGCAGGUGUGAGCCUGGUCAGUACCUGGAUGGGAGACCUCCUGGGAAAAACUAAGGUUGCUGCUGGAA
ensembl:rRNA 5S_rRNA 5S ribosomal RNA